rnacentral:lncRNA from 1 species
GUUGUGCCUGAAAAUAAGAAGCUACUUCCCUGCAAUCCAAACAGAAAUUGCUGCAUAGUGCAGCACUCUGUAAUAGAAGGAUAUUACUCUCUUUCCAAUUUAGGAUUAUCAUAUCUUUGUAUUGUCAAUUUCAGGGACUUACUUUGUGUUAUACAAUAUUGAGAAAAAAAAUAUGUCUCUCAUUUUAUUAGCAUCUAAAUCGAGUAUUUUAGCUACUUGAGUAAAUGUCGAUGCCUUUUAGGGGACUCAUGGAUUGUUCUUUCAAAAUGCACCAAUCUGCAGGCUUUUGAUCUCAUCCUAACUAUUGGAUUUUACAAUGAUGUUUGACCUGCUGGGCCUUUUACAGGUUCAUCUCGACACUACAAUUCCCCAUACUUCCUAUUCCUCAACUGAAAACAUACGUAAUGUUACUGCCGUUCUUUCCACACACACAAGAAAUUCAACACUCCAAUGAUUUAUAACUCUACAAACAUCACGUAGUCCUGCUCCUACUCCAAUAUCUACAAACUCAUCUAUCAUAUAUAUACAGAUAUCAAGACGAUCCCAGAUGUAAUUUGUAAUGCUUGAUAGAUUUCUAUUUCGAUUAGGAGCUCACACAAGGCUUUCCGGACAGUAGCUAUCGGUCAUACAGGAAUUAAUGAUAGCUCUUCAUGCAUUGGUUCAUCCAAAUUUCAGUGUAAUAUAGAGAGUAAAGUAC